UACGGGGGGAGCAAACGUUGUUCGGAAUCACUGGGCGUAAAGCGCGUGUAGGCGGCUGAAUAAGUGGGAUGUUAAAUCCCCCGGCUCAACCGGGGACCUGCAUCUCAUACUGUUCAGCUCGAGCACAUCAGAGGAGACUGGAAUUCCCGGUGUAGCGGUGAAAUGCGUAGAUAUCGGAAGGAACAUCAGUGGCGAAGGCGACUUCCUGGACCAAUACUGACGCUCAGGUGCGAAAGCGUGGGGAGCAAACAGG
rnacentral:rRNA from 1 species